GAGGGUCCCAGGUACUAGGGAGUGGUAGUAUUAAGACUAGUAUAGAGGGUACUAGGGAGGAGUUGUAUUAAGACUAGUAGGGUCUCGGGUACUAGGGAGUGGUGGCAUUAAGAGACUAGUAUUGAUGGUACCAGGGGGUGGUAGUAUUUAGACUAGCAGGGACGGGGGUCAUAUGCAGGGUACCCCGAUCCGGACCG